UGGCUCAGAUUGAACGCUGGCGGCAUGCUUUACACAUGCAAGUCGAACGGCAAGCGGGGGCUUCGGCCUGCCGGCGAGUGGCGAACGGGUGAGUAAUGCAUCGGAACGUGCCCAUGUCGUGGGGGAUAACGUAGCGAAAGCUACGCUAAUACCGCAUACGCCCUGAGGGGGAAAGCGGGGGAUUCUUCGGAACCUUCGCGCGAUUGGAGCGGCCGAUGUCGGAUUAGCUAGUAGGUGAGGUAAAGGCUCACCUAGGCGACGAUCCGUAGCGGGUCUGAGAGGAUGAUCCGCCACACUGGGACUGAGACACGGCCCAGACUCCUACGGGAGGCAGCAGUGGGGAAUUUUGGACAAUGGGCGCAAGCCUGAUCCAGCCAUGCCGCGUGAGUGAAGAAGGCCUG
rnacentral:rRNA from 1 species